rnacentral:rRNA from 1 species
AGUCGUGGGGCAGCAGCUUUGUAGCAAUACAAAGGCUGGCGACCGGCAAACGGGUGCGGAACACGUACGCAACCUUCCUCUAACUGGAAGAUAGCCCACCGAAAGGUGGAUUAAUACUCCAUAACAUAUUGAAGUGGCAUCACUUUAAUAUUAAAGCUCCGGCGGUUAGAGAUGGGCGUGCGUCUGAUUAGGUAGUUGGCGGGGUAAUGGCCCACCAAGCCUGCGAUCAGUAGCUGAUGUGAGAGCAUGAUCAGCCACACGGGCACUGAGACACGGGCCCGACUCCUACGGGAGGCAGCAGUAAGGAAUAUUGGUCAAUGGACGCAAGUCUGAACCAGCCAUGCCGCGUGGAGGAUGAAGGUCCUCUGGAUUGUAAACUUCUUUUCUCUGGGACGAAACCCCCGAUUUCCAUCGGGCCUGACGGUACCAGAGGAAUAAGCACCGGCUAACUCCGUGCCAGCAGCCGCGGUAAUACGGAGGGUGCAAGCGUUAUCCGGAUUCACUGGGUUUAAAGGGUGCGUAGGCGGGUUUGUAAGUCAGUGGUGAAAUCCCCAAGCUUAACUUGGGAACUGCCAUUGAUACUGCAAGUCUUGAAUUUUCUGGAGGUAAGCGGAAUAUGUCAUGUAGCGGUGAAAUGCUUAGAUAUGACAUAGAACACCCAUUGCGAAGGCAGCUUACUACGGGAACAUUGACGCUGAGGCACGAAAGCGUGGGGAUCAAACAGGAUUAGAUACCCUGGUAGUCCACGCCCUAAACGAUGAUUACUCGACAUUAGCGAUAUUACAGUUAGUGUCUAAGCGAAAGCAUUAAGUAAUCCACCUGGGAAGUACGACCGCAAGGGUUGAAACUCAAGGAAUUGGCGGGGGUCCGCACAAGUGGUGNANCAUGUGGUUUAAUUCGAUGAUACGCGAGGAACCUUACCUGGGCUANANGCAUUUUGACCGCAGGNGAAAGCCUGUUUUGUANCAAUACAC